rnacentral:rRNA from 14 species
CGAAGGCGACUCACUGGGCCAUUACUGACGCUGAGGUGCGAAAGCGUGGGUAGCAAACAGGAUUAGAUACCCUGGUAGUCCACGCCCUAAACGAUGUCAACUAGGUGUAUGGAGAAUUUAUUCUUUGUGUAUCGAAGCUAACGCGAUAAGUUGACCGCCUGGGGAGUACGGUCGCAAGACUAAAACUCAAAUGAAUUGACGGG